AGAACCAGUCUUUCCCUGAAAACUUGUUGUAGCAUAUUCUUCUGGUUUAAUUUCUCGCAGAACUCUUAACUGUUGUGUUAUGGGUUUGAUUGAACCAAUGAUUGGUUGUGCUGUCUGCUUCCGUUGAUAUCAAUACAAACAUGAAAAUACAGAAGUUUUAUGUACAGAUUACAGUACUUCAUCCGGUAAAAGUAGUUUUUCUAUAUUAAAAAAAAAAAAAACAGAUGUGUUUCGGUAACUGUUUGAUGCUUCUGGUGGUUUAUAUUGCGCAGCUGCGGCAUGGAUUUCCUAGGAGCUGUAUGAUCCUGCAUGUUUUUGUUUGGUUUCUGGAAUUUCCUUCUUUCUUCUUAAUAUAGCAGUGGCGAGUAGGUAAACAAAUUUCAUGAGGCAGUUUCUCUUGCAGAGCAGAGUUGUGGGAAGGGACAGGGUGUGUCAUUAACUUCGUAUUUGUUUGUUUGCCACAUUAAUGCUUUCAGGUGCUCCUCGAAUCAUUGCAGUUUUCUUGGGUGCUAUAUGUUUGUGUAGUUCAGUUUACACUGUCAAGUUGUUACCUAUAGAUUCAACCCAAGUAUCAGGCGGAGCAUCCAUGCAGGAAGACUGCAUUUCUUCUCGCAACCAUUGUGGAAAUCUCAACUGCCAGUUUUAAAUUCCAACACAUCGACAUCUUCUACUUCUGCUGAAUUUCAUUUGACUUUUUACCCUUUUUCUUUCUGUUUUUUGAGGUAGCUUCCAUUUUUCCUUCAGUGGUGCUGAUAAUACAAAUGUUGCUGACCUGUUAUAAAUGUGUGGGAUUAGGUAUUGUAACUCUACAAUAUUCCUUUAGUCAGUGUUAUCCGUUUGGGUUCCGGUGGAAAUGAGGAUAUGGUACCUGGUUGGAGCAAUCUCCAUUACUAUGUACGAUUUCCACUAGCUUUUAUGAUUUGAAUCUUCCAUGGAAGAAACCCCUAAAUAUAGCUACAUAUUGAUUGAAUAGCA